rnacentral:rRNA from 1 species
UACGAAGGGUGCAAGCGUUACUCGGAAUUACUGGGCGUAAAGCGUGCGUAGGUGGUUUGUUAAGUCUGCUGUGAAAUCCCCGGGCUCAACCUGGGAAUGGCAGUGGAUACUGGCAAGCUAGAGUGUGUCAGAGGAUGGUGGAAUUCCCGGUGUAGCGGUGAAAUGCGUAGAGAUCGGGAGGAACAUCAGUGGCGAAGGCGGCCAUCUGGGACAACACUGACGCUGAGGCACGAAAGCGUGGGGAGCAAACAGGG